GAAAGAUUUAUUGGUAUAGGAGGAGUCUGCGGCACAUUAGCUAGUAGGUGAGGUAAAGGCUUACCUAGGCGACGAUGUGUAGCCGGUCUGAGAGGAUGAACGGCCACAAUGGAACUGAGACACGGUCCAUACUCCUACGGGAGGCAGCAGUGGGGAAUAUUGCACAAUGGGGGAAACCCUGAUGCAGCAACGCCGCGUGAGUGAAGAAGGUUUUCGGAUUGUAAAGCUCUGUUAGCAGGGAAGAGGAAGGACGGUACCUGCAGAGGAAGCCACGGCUAACUACGUGCCAGCAGCCGCGGUAAUACGUAGGUGGCAAGCGUUGUUCGGAAUAACUGGGCGUAAAGGAUGCGUAGGCGGUUAAACAAGUUAUAUGUUAAAUAUAUAGGCUUAACCUGUAGAAAGCAUAUAAAACUGUUUAACUAGAGUGCAGGAGAGGUAAGUGGAAUUCCUAGUGUAGCGGUGAAAUGCGUAGAGAUUAGGAAGAACACCAGUGGCGAAGGCGACUUACUGGACUGUAACUGACGCUGAGGCAUGAGAGCAUGGGGAGCAAACAGGAUUAGAUACCCUGGUAGUCCAUGCUGUAAACGAUGGGUACUAGGUGU
rnacentral:rRNA from 1 species